rnacentral:lncRNA from 1 species
UGGAACGAGUUCAUCCUGCAGCCCAUCCACAACCUGCUCAUGGGCACACACUACCAAUCGUUCCUGGAAUACAGGGAGGUGGUGGACGGCCUGGAGAAGGCCAUCUACAAGGGCCCAGGCAGCGAAGCAGGGCCCUGACUGCCCCCCCGGCCCCCCUCUCGGGCUCUCUCACCCAGCCUGGUACUGAAGGUGCCAGACGUGCUCCUGCUGACCUUCUGCGGCUCCGGGCUGUGUCCUAAAUGCAAAGCACACCUC